AUCACACAACAGUUUUGUAACCAUGUUCUCUCAGAAAGUUCCAUAGUCCACCCGUCUGGAACAAAAUUAAGUGAUUUCCAGAAAGGAUAUGGGUCAAUGACAGUGUGGGAAGAAACAAGAAAAAUCAAUAACCUACAUUUUAAUGUGUAAUGACAACAUGUUGAACAACAGACUUCCCAGGCAUGGUUCAGGAGAGAAUGCGAGAACAUGUAAAAUACAUCAUAUUUUAUAUUAUGUUGAUGCAAUUUUAGAACCAGAAGGAAAUUUAGAGAUGAUGAGAACUUAACACUGGAUUUCAUAGGUGAGAAAUGGAAACCUUGACUGGGGAACUUUCUUGGGUCACAAAACUUGUUAUCCACUUUCAGCUUGGUCUUCUUUCAAUCUUCAUUUGCCUCCUAAAUAAAAGAUCUGCUGGCUCAG